ACCCCCAUAAGCUUUCAAGAUAUUUUUCUCUCUCCCUCUUUCUCUCUCUUUAUUUCUCCCUACUUCUCUUUCUAACGGGCUUUUCGUUCUUUGGUUACUACAAUCUUCUUUGACUCCUCCGAUAAAGCAAAUUUCGUACGAUUUUUUUUUUUCUUUCCUUUUUCCAGUUCCUCCAUGGGAUUUGAUUUAAGUUUUGGCCUAACAAGCUGCAAAAUUUCCUUCCGUCAAAUGCUUUUUAUUCGAGCCGGCAUUUGGCAGUGUUCCAUUUUCUGAAGAACUAAUAAUCUGUUUGGUUCGUGAGGGAAAAAAAAAAAAAAAUAUAAAUUGUAAAUAUCCGAAGCACGAGCCGGCUUUUGUUUUGAAGAUUUGCUUGUAGCUUUCAGGGAAAAAGAAACAAAAAGGAGACACAAUACGCAUCGUUCUUCUAAUUUUUUCAUAGGAUAAUUAUCAUUUUAUCGAAGUCAAAACGAUCUAUUCUUUAAACCAAAAGUGAAGAAGGACCUUUAUGGUGGCUAAAGCUUAAUGGAUAGCUUAUACUGCAAUGCAGUCUUUUCAUGAGGCUUAUAUAUGUAUCUGUCAAAUGUGUGGCUUUGGAGACAUGCGGUGGUAUGUAUAGCAAUGGCUGCUUGUGGCAUCAGUUUGAAUAGUAUCAUUUCUUGAACUUGUUGAUAUCAAGGGCGUUAGAUGUCUGAUGCGUUGGCUUCACUUGCAUAAUUGAGUCUGCAUUCAAGCAGCAUGAGCUUUUUGGGUGGCUUUAUGUACAUAAUUGGGUCUACAUUCAAGCAGCUUACAGUCUAUGGUAACUUAACAUUGUAUACAGUUUUGGCUGACUGUUUCUUGUUGAAUUCAAGUCUGUGAUCUUUUUGACCUUGUUUUUAUUGCUUUUCAUGUGUUCAGUUUAUUCACUACCUAGUAAAUAAGAUGAAUUCCUAAUGUUUGAAUAGCUUUCUUCGGUCACAAUUUUUUUGCAUUUCCCUAUGUGCUUUUUGAUACAUCUAGUGUUUAGGAUAACAAUUUAGUUAAGUGCACACUUCACUAAAGGAGGGUGUAGUUUGUAAUCGGGAGAAUGUAAGCAUAAAUUACCUAAGCAAACAUACGAGCAUCCUAAACUGGGUAAAAGCUUCAUUGAGUUAGUCUACUAAUCUUUUGUUAUCAUGUUUAUGAAGUGUCUGGACAUGUUAUUUCUGGCUGCCAAUAACUUUAGUGUUGUGACACGAUCUGGAUACAAAUUGUCUUGCUAGAAAAUGGAUGGCCCAACCUUAAUUUACUGCUUCAGUUCGAAUUAUGAUCAGUCAUUGCUUCCUGUGCCGUUGUUGCUGAUCAUGUCAUGAGUCACACUAUGGUUGUUCUGUUAUUCUUAGGUCUGGCCAUCUUUCCCAUAUUAAGAAAGAGUUCUGAAGGGGGUCUUGUCUUAUAUCUGCACAUUUUCUAUUUUUAUGACCUGCAAAAUGGAGCUGUGACUAACAAUUCCUAGACUUGGAUUUGUUUGGCUAAUCAAAUCCGGAUUGGUUAUAAGUAGCAAGAAUUACAGAGGGGUUUGCUAAUACUAGGAAUGAUGUUUUCUACUACUCCUUUGCUGCCUGAACGUGUUUCAAGUUUUGAUUGUUGUGGAGAUAUGUUAAAUCCUUAAUGGUUAGAUUAUUAUUAUUAUUAUGUUGCUGCUGUUUCUUGCCCAAAAGUUUCACAGGAUUGCUAAGUGGAACAUACUUAAGUCAAACCACUACAACGUGGAAAAGAUAUUAAUCUUUGUUUUUACUUUAUUGAAGCGGAGGAACAAUAACUUCUCCUUGAAUAAAGGUUGCAGACAAAGAAAACAGUUAACGCUUAUCCUCUAAAGAACAAUGAUGUUGUUCUGCAUGUGCAACUUUAAUUUAGAUGCCCUGAUUUUUAGUUAAGACCUGCAUUUUUUAGGAAGAAAAGAUAAAACGGAGGAUUGGUUGGAUAAGAGGGAUGGAAAGUAAGAUGGAAGGAAAAGAAAAUUAUAGUACGAAGUGGAAAGUUUAGUUAUUCUCUUCUUUUUUUGGCAAUGGAGGUAUAGCUUUUAGUUAGUGCAUGGAUUUAGAAAAGUCCCCUUCAGGUGUGGACAAUAACUUGCGGAUUCACACCCCAUCACCUGUGGUGAGGUAUAUAUACCAAAAUAUUAGCCCCACUGUAUGUGGAUGUCCAAACCUAAUGAUUGUUCUAGAUUUAUAUCCAUUAAAUUUUAGUUUAAACCUAUGUUUUGUAGGAAGGAAAUAAAUAAAUAAAUAAAUAACACGUAGAAGGAUUGAUAGGAUAAGAGGGAUGCAAAGUUAAAAAUUAGAAGAAGAAAAUUAUGGUCUAACACGUUUGGUAUAAUAAGAGGAAAAUGUAAUUAUUCUGUCCCUUGUUUGGUAUUGGAGGUAAAAGUAGAAGAAAAUAAAGUUUUUUGUUAGGGUAAUUACAUUUUGCCGUCUGAACUAGGGCAUACAUUAUGCCUCAGACUACAACCACCAUCGCAUUGCUCCCAAACUAUUAUUUUAUUGUUAAUUAAGUCUAGUCAUGCAUUUCGAGAGAUGGAUUUGGUAAACCGAUCAUAUUCAACUCAAUUAACUUUGAAACUGUUUUCCUCUAUUUCAUGUAUUUUUGGACAGUGUUUAUGACUAAUUUUGCUUAAUUUAUUGGCUAAAAUUGUAGAAUUAGACCAAAUUGACAGAAAAGUAUUAGUAUGGUGGGAAUACCAAAGGUUUUGUAGUUUGGGGAUAAAAGUGCAAAAUACAGUGCAAAAUGUAAUAUAGUUCAUGGGUAAAGUGCAAUUACCCUAUGACUAUUUUGCUAUUAAGCUAUGGUUUAGGUUAGUUACACUUUAAUACCCUAUAAAUAUUUUUGUUAUUAAGUUAUAUUUGCAUUUUAGUAUUUUAUAGUCUUAGAAAAAUGCGUUUUAGGCCUUUGGUCUUAAACCAUUACAAUUUUAGGCUUAAAUUUAGGAUUUGUUGUAGAUUGGUCUAAUUGAAUUCUUGGCUAUGGGGCCUAACCACCAAUCAAUAUGACUUAUAUGUGACUGAUUUGGUAUAUAAAAUAAUUAUUUCUUAUAAAAUAGAAAAAUUUAUUCAUAAAAAUUAAAAAGAGAAAUGUGAAUGGUGAAUCUUAUCAAUUUGUUUGGUUAUUACGUUGAAUU